AGAGUUUGAUCAUGGCUCAGAUUGAACGCUGGCGGCAGGCCUAACACAUGCAAGUCGAGCGGUAGAGAGAGGCUUGCUUCUCUUGAGAGCGGCGGACGGGUGAGUAAUGCCUAGGAAUCUGCCUGGUAGUGGGGGAUAACGUUCGGAAACGGACGCUAAUACCGCAUACGUCCUACGGGAGAAAGCAGGGGACCUUCGGGCCUUGCGCUAUCAGAUGAGCCUAGGUCGGAUUAGCUAGUUGGUGGGGUAAUGGCUCACCAAGGCGACGAUCCGUAACUGGUCUGAGAGGAUGAUCAGUCACACUGGAACUGAGACACGGUCCAGACUCCUACGGGAGGCAGCAGUGGGGAAUAUUGGACAAUGGGCGAAAGCCUGAUCCAGCCAUGCCGCGUGUGUGAAGAAGGUCUUCGGAUUGUAAAGCACUUUAAG
rnacentral:rRNA from 1 species